GACGAACGCUGGCGGCGUGCUUAACACAUGCAAGUCGAACGAUGAUGCCCAGCUUGCUGGGCGGAUUAGUGGCGAACGGGUGAGUAACACGUGAGUAACCUGCCCUUGACUUCGGGAUAGCUCCGGGAAACCGGGGCUAAUACCGGAUAUGAGCCGUCCUCGCAUGGGGGUGGUUGGAAAGUUUUUCGGUCAGGGAUGGGCUCGCGGCCUAUCAGCUUGUUGGUGGGGUGAUGGCCUACCAAGGCGACGACGGGUAGCCGGCCUGAGAGGGCGACCGGCCACACUGGGACUGAGACACGGCCCAGACUCCUACGGGAGGCAGCAGUGGGGAAUAUUGCACAAUGGGCGAAAGCCUGAUGCAGCGACGCCGCGUGAGGGAUGAAGGCCUUCGGGUUGUAAACCUCUUUCAGCGGGGAAGAAGCGCAAGUGACGGUACCUGCAGAAGAAGCGCCGGCUAACUACGUGCCAGCAGCCGCGGUAAUACGUAGGGCGCAAGCGUUGUCCGGAAUUAUUGGGCGUAAAGAGCUCGUAGGCGGUUUGUCGCGUCUGGUGUGAAAACUCGAGGCUCAACCUCGAGCUUGCAUCGGGUACGGGCAGACUAGAGUGCGGUAGGGGAGACUGGAAUUCCUGGUGUAGCGGUGGAAUGCGCAGAUAUCAGGAGGAACACCGAUGGCGAAGGCAGGUCUCUGGGCCGCAACUGACGCUGAGGAGCGAAAGCAUGGGGAGCGAACAGG
rnacentral:rRNA from 1 species